rnacentral:lncRNA from 1 species
GCUGACUGGUCUUAAGAUAAACUAUCACAAAAGUGAAGUUUUCGUUUUUGGUUAUCCCCAACUGGAAAAAGAAAGGAUUGCGAAUAUGUUAGACUGCGCUUUAGGGGACCUUCCUCUCAAAUAUCUUGGUAUCCCAAUUAGUGAUCAUCACCUAGGCAUGGGGGCCUUUGAACCUGUUUUCCAGAAGAUGCUCAAGAGAUUAGAUCCUUAGAAAGGCAAACAUCUUACUUCAGGAGGGAGACAGAUUCUCACCAACUCUUGCCUUAGUAGUAUUCCUCUUUACUGCAUGGGUUUUUACUGGUUGGUGGAUGGAGCUCACAAAAAGAUGGAUGGCAUUAGAGCGUCUUUCCUUUGGCAAGGUGCGGAUGGAAAAUUUAAGUACCACAUGGCUAAGUGGGAAAUGAUUAGCAAACCUAAAGACCAAGGUGGUCUAGGGAUAAUCAAUACUAGAAUAAUGAAUGAUUGUUUACUGGUAAAAUGGAUUUGGAAAAUCCUGCAGGAACCUGAUGAGCUAUGGUUUAAACUCAUUAAAGCCAAAUACCUUGAUGGUUGUAAUUUUUUCUCUGCCCAAAGGAAGGGAAGUUCACAAUUUUGGCAGGGGCUUCACAAAGUUAAACAUCUUUUCAAGUGGGGGGCAAUUUUCAAAGUAAGAAAUGGUCUAAAUUGUAGGUUUUGGCAGGAUUGCUGGUUAUUGGAUGUGCCUCUAAAAGUUGCGUAUGAGGAUCUUUUCAUACUGGCUAGGGAUCCUGAAGUAAUAGUUGCUGAUUGCUGGGCAGAUAAUGAUUGGUGGGUGGAUUUUAAAAGAACUUUAUCUGUUAAGGAUUUUGAAAGGUGGUCUGAACUCAAGGAAGAGCUUAAUAAGAUCACCUUAGAGGAGGACAAUUCAGAUAUUGUUACAUGGGCCCUGGAAGGCAAGGGCGGCUUUUCUACCAAGUCCCUUUAUAGGUUUUUAACUGAUGGAGGUAUGCCUAGUAGGGUGGCGGGAUAUAUUUGGAAGUGU